UGGGGAAUUUUGGACAAUGGGCGAAAGCCUGAUCCAGCAAUGCCGCGUGUGUGAAGAAGGCCUUCGGGUUGUAAAGCACUUUUGUCCGGAAAGAAAUCCUUGGCUCUAAUACAGUCGGGGGAUGACGGUACCGGAAGAAUAAGCACCGGCUAACUACGUGCCAGCAGCCGCGGUAAUACGUAGGGUGCAAGCGUUAAUCGGAAUUACUGGGCGUAAAGCGUGCGCAGGCGGUUUGCUAAGACCGAUGUGAAAUCCCCGGGCUCAACCUGGGAACUGCAUUGGUGACUGGCAGGCUAGAGUAUGGCAGAGGGGGGUAGAAUUCCACGUGUAGCAGUGAAAAUGCGUAGAGAUGUGGAGGAAUACCGAUGGCGAAGGCAGCCCCCUGGGCAAUACUGACGCUCAUGCACGAAAGCGUGGGGAGCAAACAGGAUUAGAUACCCUGGUAGUCCACGCCCUAAAACGAUGUCAACUAGUUGUUGGGGAUUCAUUUCCUAGUAACGUAGCUAACGCGUGAAGUUGACCGCCUGGGGAGUACGGUCGCAAGAUUAAAACUCAAAGGAAUUGACGGGGUCAUAGCUG
rnacentral:rRNA from 1 species